UUGUUUGGGUUUAAAGAAGGAGAAUUCAUCCGAUUAAAGUUUGAAAGUUUGUUAUAUCUUUGAAAUGAUUAAAUAGUAGUUUUAAAUGAUGAGAAAGUGGAGUUAUUUGUUUCGAAGUUGUGUAGUAAAGAGUUUGAUUUGGUUUAGAAAUGAAUUGAUGUGUUUUGAAACGAGAUCUCUCGAAAUGGAAUGAUUAGAGUUCAAUGCCAACUAGUUUGCCCCUUUGUAGUUUUUGCUCCUCGAUGAACCUAGGCAUUGAGUUGAAGCGAGACACAAAAAUGAUGGCAGAACGUAGGUUUGACUCUUAAUUCCGAAGUUUAGAGCUCUUGGUUCUAAAUGUUUGGAUUUUUAUCUUUGUUUAUUUUUAAGUUUCGAGGGCGAAACUUUUUGCGAGGGUGGUAUAUUGUAAUACCCCUAUUUUAAAGUGUAUUUUAUUAAGUGCUAAGUAUGAUUACUAGCCUUAUUAUAUAAUAAUAUUUCUCGAGUUUAUUUAAAAGAAAUUGAGUUUGAUUAUGCAAUUAGUGAAUAGCUAAUAUUCUUUAUUUAGUUAAUCGUAUGGUAAUAUUUUAGUGGAAUUACUUUUAAUGUAAACUCUUAAUAGUAGUAUACAACUUAUGUUUUGAAAAGGAAAGUAGAUGUUUUCUUUUAGAUAUAUAUAUAUGUAUAAGGAGAGAAGUUUAAGAUAAUUUGGCCCAAUUAGGAAGCAAAAGUCGGUUAUUCCCUUAACUUGGUUUUUUUUUAGUCGGUUGAAAGAGGGUUGCCUUUGUUGUUUUUGUCGGUUCAAGAAACAAAACCCCUUCCCUUUCCUUUCUUUGUCUCUCUCGUGGGUUCUAAAAUCUCAAAACCCAAAAGAGAACCCCAACCCUCAAAGCUGAAAACCCGUGAAACCUCUUCUCUCUUGCAUCUCUCUCUCUCUGCUUGCGUUCUAUCUCCUCUCAGGCGAGUGAGUUUCGCACGUCCUUCCACCGCAAGCUGGCGGCAUCUGCCGUCCUUUUCCUUUGCCCUUGUGCGAGUAGUUGCUGUUCGCAAGUGUGGUGCUCGUGCACCGUCUCUCUUCCCUUUGUUUUGUUGUUGUUGUUGCUGUUUUGCGUCGCACCACGGCGCGGGGGAACCGCCGGAGCUUUGCUCCCUCUUCCUUGUUUGUGGGUACAUGAAGGUAAUGUAUAAUGAAGAACGUUCGAUGUUGGAUGUUUGUUGUAUCCUUUAUACUAGUUGUAUCUCGGCGAGGACGAUCAACUUUGUAAUAUUAUAGUAGUUAAUAGUUAAUUUGUAAUUAAAUUAAAAAGGUUUGAGUUUGUAAAGUCUAGACUUGUUUGGGUUGCUGGAUUUUGAGGAUACAGGAUUACGAAUCGGACGCGAGUCCUAAAUUAAGUUUUAGGCGGUCCGUAUUACAAAUGGAACUCUGCCGAAUUUUCUGUAGAAUCUUAGUAACAUAUCUAGUUGUUUAAAAUAUUUGAGGAUCAAUUAAUAUAGUUAUUAGAGUUAGAGGUUCUAA